GUGGAUUAGAUACCCUGGUAGUCCACGCUGUAAACGAUGGGCACUAGAUGCCGGUCCUAUAGACGGGUUCGGUGUCGUAGCUAACGCAUUAAGUGCCCCGCCUGGGGAGUACGGCCGCAAGGCUGAAACUCAAAGGAAUUGACGGGGGCCCGCACAAGCGGUGGAGCAUGUGGUUUAAUUCGAAGCAACGCGAAGAACCGUACCUAGGCUUGACAUACAUGUGAAACACCCUGGAAACAGGGUGCCUCCUUCGGGACGCAUGUACAGGUGCUGCAUGGUUGUCGUCAAAU
rnacentral:rRNA from 1 species